rnacentral:tRNA from 1 species
GGCGCUAUGGCCAAGUGGAAAGGCAUGGGUCUGCAACACCCUCAUCCCCAGUUCAAAUCUGGGUGGCGCCUCCA